AAACUUUCAACAACGGAUCUCUUGGCUCUGGCAUCGAUGAAGAACGCAGCGAAAUGCGAUACGUAAUGUGAAUUGCAGAAUUCAGUGAAUCAUCGAAUCUUUGAACGCACAUUGCGCCCGGCAGCAUUCUGCCGGGCAUGCCUGUUCGAGCGUCA
rnacentral:rRNA from 2 species